rnacentral:rRNA from 1 species
GGGGUGUCGGAGGGGUCUAGCAUGUGAGUCAUUGUAGCAAUACAAGGCAGACGGCUCAGUAACACGUAGUCAACCUACCCUAUGGACGUGGAUAACCUCGGGAAACUGAGGAUAAUCCGCGAUAGAUCAUAACUCCUGGAAUUGGUUUAUGGUCAAAAUGAUUCGUCGCCGUAGGAUGGGACUGCGGCCUAUCAGCUUGUUGGUGAGGUAAUGGCCCACCAAGGCUAUUACAGGUACGGGCUCUGAGAGGAGAAGCCCGGAGAUGGGUACUGAGACACGGACCCAGGCCCUAUGGGGCGCAGCAGGCGAGAAACCUUUGCAAUGUGCGCAAGCACGACAAGGUUAAUCCGAGUGUUUCCUGCUAAAGGAAUCUUUUGUUAGUCGUAAAACCACUAGUGAAUAAGGGGUGGGCAAGUUCUGGUGUCAGCCGCCGCGGUAAAACCAGCACCUCAAGUGGUCAGGAGGAUUAUUGGGCCUAAAGCAUCCGUAGCCGGCUUUACAAGUUUCCGGUUAAAUCCAUUCGCUCAACGAAUGGGCUGCCGGAAAUACUACAUAGCUAGGGAGUGGGAGAGGUAGACGGUAUUCGGUAGGAAGGGGUAAAAUCCUUUGAUCUAUUGAGGACCACCUAUGGCGAAGGCAGUCUACCAGAACACGUUCGACAGUGAGGGAUGAAAGCUGGGGGAGCAAACCGGAUUAGAUACCCGGGUAGUCCCAGCUGUAAACGAUGCAGACUCGGUGAUGCACUGGCUUGUGGCCAGUGCAGUGCCGCAGGGAAGCCGUUAAGUUUGCCGCCUGGGAAGUACGUACGCAAGUAUGAAACUUAAAGGAAUUGGCGGGGGAGCACCACAAGGGGUGAAGCCUGCGGUUCAAUUGGAUUCAACGCCGGG